CCCUUAGAUGUUCUGGGCCGCACGCGCGCUACACUGAUGCAUUCAACGAGUGUACCUUGGCCGAGAGGCCUGGGCAAUCUUUUGAACGUGCAUCGUGAUAGGGAUAGAUUAUUGCAAUUAUUAAUCUUGAACGAGGAAUUCCUAGUAAACGCAGAUCAUCAAUCUGCAUUGAUUACGUCCCUGCCCUUUGUACACACCGCCCGUCGCACCUACCGAUUGAAUGGUCCGGUGAAAUCUUCGGAUCUGAGAGAUGUCUGAUUAAUUUCGGACGCCUUUUGGAAAAGUUGUUUAAACCUUACCAUUUAGAGGAAGGUGAAGUCGUAACA
rnacentral:rRNA from 1 species